AUUGAACGCUGGCGGCAGGCUUAACACAUGCAAGUCGAGCGGGGGGAGGUAGCUUGCUACCGGACCUAGCGGCGGACGGGUGAGUAAUGCUUAGGGAUCUGCCUAUUAGUGGGGGACAACAUCUCGAAAGGGAUGCUAAUACCGCAUACGUCCUACGGGAGAAAGCAGGGGAUCACUUGUGACCUUGCGCUAAUAGAUGAGCCUAAGUCGGAUUAGCUAGUUGGUGGGGUAAAGGCCUACCAAGGCGACGAUCUGUAGCGGGUCUGAGAGGAUGAUCCGCCACACUGGGACUGAGACACGGCCCAGACUCCGACGGGAGGCAGCAGUGGGGAAUAUUGGACAAUGGGCGCAAGCCUGAUCCAGCCAUGCCGCGUGUGUGAAGAAGGCCUUAUGGUUGUAAAGCACUUUAAGCGAGGAGGAGGCUACUUUAGUUAAUACCUAGAGAUAGUGGACGUUACUCGCAGAAUAAGCACCGGCUAACUCUGUGCCAGCCGCCGCAGUAA
rnacentral:rRNA from 1 species